ensembl:lncRNA
GCUCACUAGACACGGCCUUAUUCCCAUGGCAGCAGGUCCCAUCAGAGAGCUGGGGCUCGUCCCCUUACCCUGGCAGGUUUGCCCACUCCCAGGCAGCCACCCUGGGUAGCUGGGACACUUUAGGGGAUUCUGUAUCUGGGCUAGAGGACCAAGAAUAUGGAAGCUAUUCUCCUACCAGUUGGGGAGGCAAGUUGGCCAAGUUUGCCUCGUGGGAUUCUCUGACCUGGGUCGUAAUGCUGCAGCCCACCCCAGUGGCCCCCCUGGUGGCAGCUCAGUGAGUCUCAGAGGGGUCAGCUUUUUGCUAACCUCCUCCUAAGAAUAAGGGCUACCCUAGACCUGGCCUAAUAAACCUAAAACCAAGACACGAAAGGUUCGAGGAGAAUUGCCAGAAAUGAAUUGCCGCCAGAACAAAACUCAGCAUUCUUUAAAGGAAGAUGGUAUUACCCAAAGUCCAGCAUAUUACUUAGUCCUUCAAGGAAGGGGAAAACAUGCCCCAUAAUCAAGAAGAAGUCAGUGGAAACACAUCCGGAGAAGAUGCAGAUGUUUACGUUAGUGUGCAAGGACUUUAAAGCAGUUACUAUAAACGUGAUUAAGGACUUAAAGGAAAAUAUGGUGGUCUUAAUGGGGCAUCUUAGCAGAGUAAUCGAAACUGUAAAAAAGAACCAAAUAUAUUGAAAAAUCCAUUGGAUGAGGUUAACAGAAGAUUGAAGGAGAAGGCUGGGAGAAGAAAAGGCCAUGAGCUUAAGGACAGGUCCAGAGAUGUUCUCAUCCGAAAAUCAGAAAGAAAAAUAUCGAAUAGAAAUUAACAGUGCCUCAUUGAUCUGUGGGACAACAUCAAGCAGUCUAACAUAUGUGUCUGGAGUUCCAGAAGGAGAGAAGAAAAAGAAUGGGAAAGAAAAAAUAUUUGAAGAGAUGCUGGUAAAAAAUAAUCCUGAAAUUUGAUGAGAAACCUUCACUUACAGAUUCAAGAAGCUUGGCAAACUACAAACAGGAUGAGCACAAAGAAAGUCACACCUAGACUAGGCACGUCAUAGUCACAGUGCUGAAAACCAGAGGUAAAGGAAAUAUUUUGACAGCAGGUGGAGAAAAAAGGCACUUUACAUUAGGGAAACAAUGACGUGAGAAAAUGGAGGCUAGAAGACCAUGGAAUCGCACCGUUAAAGUGCUGAUAAAGAAGAGAUUCAGUCUAGAAUUCUAUAACCAAUGAAAAUAUCUUCCAAAAUGAGGGGGAAAAAAGGCAUUUUAAGAAAAAUAAAAGAUGAGAGAAUUUGUUGCCAGCAGGCCAGCACUAUGAGAAAUGCUAAAGGAAGUUAUUCAGGUUGGAAGGAAAUUUGGAGACUUAAAUUUGUCAGAAAGAAUGAAGAGCCACAGAAAUGAUAGAUGUCUGGGUAAAUAUAAAAGAAUGGCUUUUUCUUUCUUGUAAUUUCCAUAAAAAACAAAUAUCUGUUUACAGAAAAAGUAAUAUUUUUGUAAGAUACAGUUUAUGAUCUAUGUAGGAAUAAAGUAUAUGAUAAUAGCACAAAAAAUGGGGGAGUAAAUAAAAUUAUAUUGUUGUGAGGUUCUUAUCCUUGUGAAAUGUGAAGAAGCCCCAUUGGACUGUGAUAAAUUAGUGAUGCGUAUUAUAAUUUCUAGGGCAACCAUUAACAAAUAAUAAAAAGAGAUAUAAUCAAAAAGCAAAGAGAAGAAAUAAAAUGUAAAAUUAAUUAUACUUAAUAUAAUAUAUUGAAUAUUGAAUUAUAAUAUGUAAAUAUAAUAUUAAUUUUAUUCAGUUCCUCAAAAGAAGGCAGGAAAAGAACUGAGGAAGAAAAGAACAUGUGGGACAAAUAGGAAACAAAUAGCAAGAUGACAGGCUUUGUUAUGGGUUGAAUUAUCCCCCCAACUCAUAUGUUGAAAUCCUAACCCCCAGCACCUCAGAAUGUGACAGUAUUUGGAGAUAGUCUUUACAGAGGUAUUACGUUAAGAUGAGGUCAUGAGGGUGGACCCUAAUCCAACAUGACUGGUGUCCUUGUAAGAAGAAGAAAUUUGGGGGCGGGCCUGUCGCCGAGUGGUUAAGUUCACUCUGCUUUGGUGGCCCAGGGUUUCGCCAGUUCGGAUCCUGAGCACGGACGUGGCACCACUCAUCAAGCCAUGCUAAGGUGGCGUCCUAUAUGCCACAACUAGAAGGACCCACAGCUAAAAAAAAUAUACAACUAUGUACUAGGGAACUUUGGGGAGAAAAAGGAAAAAUAAAAUCUUUAAAAAAAAAAAGAGGAGAAGUUUGUAUAUAGACACGCACAGAAGGGAA